CCUACGGGCGACAGCAGUGGGGAAUAUUGGACAAUGGGGGGAACCCUGAUCCAGCGACGCCGCGUGAGUGAAGAAGUAUUUAGGUAUGUAAAGCUCUAUCAGCAGGGAAGAAAAUGACGGUACCUGACUAAGAAGCCCCGGCUAACUACGUGCCAGCAGCCGCGGUAAUACGUAGGGGGCAAGCGUUAUCCGGAUUUACUGGGUGUAAAGGGAGCGUAGACGGUGCAGCAAGUCUGAUGUGAAAGGUCGGGGCGCAACCCCGGGACUGCAUUGGAAACUGUUGAACUUGAGUACAGGAGAGGUAAGCGGAAUUCCUAGUGUAGCGGUGAAAUGCGUAGAUAUUAGGAGGAACACCAGUGGCGAAGGCGGCUUACGGGACUGUAACUGACGUUGAGGCUCGAAGGCGUGGGGAGCAAACAGGAUUAGAUACCCGGGUAGUC
rnacentral:rRNA from 1 species